GUGCCAGCAGCCGCGGUAAUUCCAUGUCUCCAAUAGCGUAUAUUAAAGUUGUUGUGGUUAAAAAGCUCGUAGUUGAACCUUGGGCCUGGCUGGCCGGUCCGCCUCACCGCGUGCACUGGUCCGGCCGGGCCUUUCCCUCUGUGGAACCCCAUACCCUUCACUGGGCGUGGCGGGGAAACAGGACAUUUACUUUGAAAAAAUUAGAGUGCUCCAGGCAGGCCUAUGCUCGAAUACAUUAGCAUGGAAUAAUAAAAUAGGACGCGCGGUUCUAUUUUGUUGGUUUAUAGGACCGCCGUAAUGAUUAAUAGGGACAGUCGGGGGCAUCAGUAUUCAACUGUCAGAGGUGAAAUUCUUGGAUCAGUUGAAGACUAACUACUGCGAAAGCAUUUGCCAAGGAUGUUUUCAUUAAUCAGGAACGAAAGUUAGGGGAUCGAAGACGAUCAGAUACCGUCGUAGUCUUAACCAUAAACUAUGCCGACUAGGGAUCGGACGGUGUUAUUCAUGACCCGUUCGGCACCUUACGAGAAAUCAAAGUGCUUGGGCUCCAGGGGGAGUAUGGUCGCAAGGCUGAAACUUUAAAGAAUUUGACGGAAGGGCACCACCAGGGUGGAGCCUGCGGCUUAAUUUGACUCAACACGGGGAAACUCACCAGGUCCAGACACAAUAAGGAUUGACAGAUUGAGAGCCCUUUCUUGAUUUUGUGGGUGGUGAUGCAUAGGCCGUUCUUAGUGGGUGGGUGACUUGUCUGCUUAAAUGACGAAUAACGAACGGAGACCUAAACCUGCUUAAUAG
rnacentral:rRNA from 1 species